UACGUAGGGUGCAAGCGUUUGUCCGGAAUUAUUGGGCGUAAAGAGCUCGUAGGCGGUCUGUUGCGUCGGCUGUGAAAACCCGGGGGCUCAACCCCGGGCCUGCAGCCGAUACGGGCAGACUAGAGUUCGGCAGGGGGAGACUGGAAUUCCUGGUGUAGCGGUGAAAUGCGCAGAUAUCAGGAGGAACACCGGUGGCGAAGGCGGGUCUCUGGGCCGAUACUGACGCUGAGGAGCGAAAGCGUGGGGAGCGAACAGG
rnacentral:rRNA from 1 species